CAGGGAGAUCACAUGGCUAUGGCUGCUGAGUCACAGUGGAAAUGAUGUGGAGCUGGUGCUGGUUAUGUUGCGCCUACCUAGUCACUGAUCUCAGUCUUUAAGUUUUCCACUCCUACUAGUUAUGGAUUGGGUUUGGGGUGGGUAAACUAAUCCUAGAUCUGUGGUUAUAACCAGAUUACUUACCGGACUAAAUGACUGGACACUUUGGAUGGAGAUCACAAAGCAAUGGCUGCUGAGUCAGAGGAGAAAUAUGGAUCUGCCGGAGUCUGAUCCAGAUGAGUAGGAGUAGGUUGUUACUAGAAGCUGAUCUGGGGUCUGUUUUGUGUUUUCCUGUCAUAAAUGGUCAAGAAAAGGAUUUGGAAGGAUAAACUGAUCCUAGAUCUGUGGCUAGGAUUCAUCAACCACCCACCAUUGGAAACUCCUUCACAAUGUAAGAUGUGGUAGAUGUCUUCUGGGACAGAGGGGCAUUAAUCAUUCUCCACAUGAUUGGAACUAACAUCUGACAGUAGACAUGCGUCUCAACAAUGCAUUCACUACUGUUAAUACAACGCACAGAAAGCAGACCAGAUCUAGUCUAUGGGGGUGCUUGCACAGACCUGGAUUGAGCCUACCAGGGGAAAAUGUCCUUUUCAUGCUUAAUUAACUCCUUUAAAGCUAUGUUCCCAUAAGGUAUUGAAAACCUUUUACACUUUAUGCUCUUUAUAUAGCAGUUGAUGAACUGACCUUCAGUGCAGCAUCACACAGACUGUCUGACACGGCCCCUUGGAGCAACAAAGUUCUCACAGAUGAUUAUAGAAGCACAUCAAAACGCAAGUGGUCUGCUUUGAUGGCGAUUGAUCCUAUCAUAAAUAAUUGACUUUAAAAAGACGGAGGAGCCUCGUUAUAAAUUAAUCUACAGCAGCUACUGGCAUGGAGUAGAGAAUUCCAAAGCAUUUUAUCACCCCUUUAUCUUCUAACACCUAGUAUCUGAGGACAAUGCACACCACUAAGUCAUGAUAGAUCACAUGAAUCAGAUUGGUUACAAUAAAUAAUUGAAUUGUUAGCUCAUCAAAAGAACCGUCUUUGUGCAUGAUGCUUGGGAAAGUAAUGUAAAUUGGCAAGUGAACGUGUGGGCCUUGUACUCUUACUUUAGAAAUGCGUCCUUCCUUCCUUAUUUCCUUGAGGUAAAAGACAGAUUUAUUAGAAAUGGGUUAGGGCUGGACCCGGUUUGCUAUUGGAUAGGUCUGGACCCGGUUUCCACGAUAGCAAUAUAAUUUAGGCUUAGAAGUGUUUUAACGAUGCAUCUUUCUUACAAAAAACGGCCGAAGACGUAACAUGCGUAACGUGCUUUUCCCAAAACAACACGCAAAGAGAACGUUCUAAGUGCGUCGUUGGCGCAUGCAUCGUUACUGAUUGGAUCGAAAGAAAGGGAGCCCUGCUCUCGGAUCAGCUUUCUCCAUUAAAAUCUUACCUUGACAUUAUAAUUAUUUCACAAUGCUGACGACGGCUCAGCUCCUAGAGAUAUUACCAACUGCGGCUGCAAUAUUGAGGCGGCUUAUUCCAAUGCUUACCCAAUAAAUAGGAAAAAAAUGUAUUUAAAAAAUACACAGAUUUGUCACAUCGUUACGCACGUUAGCAUAAUAACAAAAUCCCCAUCAAAAUCUGUCAGUUUAAACUAGUGAUGUUUUUUUUGUUGUAUUGGAUGCUUCUCAAUCCAAGGUGCCAGAGCUAAGAGCUGUGUGUCAGGCCAUGGGACAUCCCGAAAAUCCCGUCUGUAGUGUCUGAACGGUUUGGCCUACAGACUGUUAUGAGCCCCAUGUGGAAAGAUGACUCUCACGAACACGACGGUGUCCUUCGUUUUGCUCUACGACCCCCACAAGCGUAUUGGGACUCGUCUGAAGUCGGUAGAGCCUAUCAGCCAACUUCUGUCUGUAGCGUCCGAACAGUUUGGGCUCCACACUAACAAUACAUUUAAGUGUUUUAUGAGUGGUCUGAGGCAGGCGUUACGAUUACAAGCGUUUUCAAAUGCAACGUUAAUAACAAGAGUUGUGGUGAACAGCUCAGAUAUUUAAAGAUGCUCCUACGAAGGUACUAACGAUGAACUUAACCUUAAGAUGGUUUAGGGAAACCGGGCCCACAGCAAAGUUAGCUCCUUCUUGUUUUCACCAAUUCAGAUCUGUGAUUUACUUUCAAGAAAGGUAGGAAGGAAGGGAGGAUGGAUGCAUUUUUUUUUGUAUUUGAACAGGGCCUAUGAACUGAAUGAACUCACUAUAUAAACCCAGAGCUGCAUGGAAAGAAUUCAGCGCAAUGGAGGUAAAUGUAAUAUUUAACCAACACUGCCACCUAGUGGGCAUCUAAUGCUACAAUUUUCUCUUCUGAACUACUACCACUACAACCAAAACACUGUGGGAAUGAUGCAUCAGUGUAGAGUUUUGUUGUUAAAAUGCAUGGUUUAUUUGCAUUAAAGAUAUCUUGGAUCUCAA
ensembl:lncRNA